rnacentral:rRNA from 1 species
CGACCGGCGCACGGGUGAGUAACGCGUAUCCAACCUGCCACCACUUGGGGAGUAACCUUGCGAAAGUAAGACUAAUACCCAAUGAUAUCUCUAGAAGACAUCUGAAAGAGAUUAAAGAUUUAUCGGUGAUGGAUGGGGAUGCGUCUGAUUAGCUUGUUGGCGGGGUAACGGCCCACCAAGGCAACGAUCAGUAGGGGUUCUGAGAGGAAGGUCCCCCACAUUGGAACUGAGACACGGUCCAA